AAAUGUAUCUUCAAGCAGGAGCAAGAGCUGUCACUGCAUUUCCCAGAGGGGAUGGAGCCGCUCACCCACAACGGAAGCACAGAGAGCUGAGGGGUGGAUUGCGCUAGCCAGCAACACGCAAGCAAGGAAACGGGGAAUAAGUUCUGCCAUUGUCCUGCAUGAAGAAAGGAAUCCCCAGAGCUGGAAGCUAGUCAGGACACAGGGCUCCCUCUCCUGUGUGGCCCCUCUGAACACACUAAUGAUACUUCACUGCUAACUCAGCCAAACUCUUUCUGAGGGGGCCUGCUAGGGCUGACAUCAGACUGAGCGUAUCCACUGGGAACCUUACUGGAGUGGGCCAGAAACGACUUUAUUGAAAGAGCUUUGUACCCCAGCCGCCGAGGACUUGAACUGUGGUCUAGGGGAUGUCACACACCAGAUGUUACCCAUUGGGCAGAUGUCGGCCAUGGCGGGUUUCCGUUCUCUCUAGCAAGACCAGCUCUAGAGCAGGACUUUGUAUUACGAUCUGUCCAAGAGUCGAUGUCCUCAUGCAGAAUUCAGCAGGGAUAGCUACUGUUAAAGUUGGCAUGUCACAGUGACACACUUGGCUAUGCCUUUGUUUGGCCCAGGCCAGAUUUACGCAUCUUAAUUCUUCCUCCUCAGCCAGGCCCUGUGGAUGGACUGGGCUCUGUGCAGUUCGUGGUGACUCUGACAUGCAGCGUCGCUCAAAGCACAGAGCAUUAUGCAGACCACAGGUGAGAGAUUACACCUGCUCUCUCUAUACAAAACAUCUCCCAGAUAGUAUGUUCUCUCCUUCCCUUUUUCUUCUGUGCAACUGUUGAACGUAUUCUGCUUCUGCCUCCAGCAUGCUGAAGACAACCUGGUUCCUUUUCCUCAGUGACCCAUUCAUUAUACAGAGAUAAGCUCAGCUCUCUUGCCUAAAGCCAAUGGGAAACCAAAGCAAUCUAACUCAGCUCCUUCAGCUGUCAGUCCCGGUGCAUGUCCCAUUGUCUCAGGACAGAGCCGCUGGCAAAGAACUCAACUCUUUUGAAAAACAAGCACCUCCAGUUUUCAAUGAGUGCAUGAACACACAGUUGCUCCUGAGAGAUUUCACUGUAUGCACAACAGACUCCUUUGCACAUUUGGAUUUCCUCCUGUGGCAGGGAGCUGAGUGACAUUUUUCUAGUUAGAUACCAGGCCCCCGCCCUUGCUGCAGGGAGCAGAGCCGUCAGGGGACUCUUUUACGCUUGGAACGUGGGUGGGAUUGAUGUAUGCACUGGAGCCACCCAAAAACUAGGGGAAAUCUUAGGUAUGAGAAGCACCUUAUGGCAAAUCAGGGAAGCUGAUUCCUCUAUUUAUUUGCUCUUCAAGGUCUAGGCUAUUUGUUCAUCACCUGGCCUCACGCUCCCCCGUGUGGGACACUGGAAGUUGUUUUUGGAUAAGUAAGAAGAGGACUGGGGGAUGGGUAGGUGAGCUGAGAAACUCCUAAAUCUGGUCCAUGCAGAAAAGGCCUGAUGUAGGCGACAGGCUAGGCAAGGGGGGGG